rnacentral:rRNA from 1 species
AGAAUUCCAGGUGUAGCGGUGAAAUGCGUAGAGAUCUGAAGGAAUACCGAUGGCGAAGGCAGCCUCCUGGCAUCAUACUGACACUGAGGCUCGAAAGCGUGGGUAGCAAACAGGAUUAGAUACCCUGGUAGUCCACGCCGUAAACGAUGUCUACUAGUCGUUGGGUCCCUUGAGGACUUAGUGACGCAGCUAACGCAAUAAGUAGACCGCCUGGGGAGUACGGCCGCAAGGUUAAAACUCAAAUGAAUUGGUCGACGCGGCCG